rnacentral:rRNA from 1 species
AUGAACGCUAGCGGCAGGCUUAACACAUGCAAGUCGAGGGGCAGCGCGGGAGUAGCAAUACUUCUGGCGGCGACCGGCGCAAGGGUGCGUAACGCGUGAGCAACAUACCCGUCACAGGGGGAUAAGCGAUGGAAACGUCGUCUAAUACCGCAUAACACCAGGAGCGACAUCGUUUCUGGUUGAAACUUACGAGGGUGACGGAUUGGCUCGCGAGACAUUAGCUAGUCGGCGGGGUAACGGCCCACCGAGGCGACGAUGUCUAGGAGUUCUGAGAGGAAGGUCCCCCACACUGGAACUGAGACACGGUCCAGACUCCUACGGGAGGCAGCAGUGAGGAAUAUUGGACAAUGGUCGGAAGACUGAUCCAGCCAUGCCGCGUGCAGGAAGACGGUCCCUAUGGAUUGUAAACUGCUUUUGUACGGGAGCAAUAAGUGCCACGUGUGACACGAUGAGAGUACCGUACGAAUAAGCAUCGGCUAACUCCGUGCCAGCAGCUGC